UUUCAUUACAGAAUCAACUCAACAAACUGAGUGUCACAAUCAUACAGAGGUGGACUGUAAUAAUCAGAAACAGUGGCAGAUUAUUAUUAUCAUAUCUGCUCUGAUGAACGGAAUUCUGGUCAUUGUGGUGAUUGUUUUUGCUGUUGGGAAUGCAGAACGAAUGGAAAAACAUGUUCAUAAUGCUGAUCUGCAAACACAAGUUACAUAUCAGUCAUUACAAGUACAAUAAGUACGCAGUGGUGGACUUUUCUACAAGAAUAGUCAUCAAGUCAGCAGCAUUUGUAUGUGAUUAUAUAACAUGUUUUUAGAUAUGAUGUGACUGCC